AGAGUUUGAUCCUGGCUCAGAUUGAACGCUGGCGGCAUGCCUUACACAUGCAAGUCGAACGGCAGCACGGGUGCGUAACACGUGGGCAAUCUGCCCUCCGAUGGGGAAUAACCCCGCGAAAGCGGGGCUAAUACCGCAUAACAUUCCUUGGACUACGGUUUGAGGACUCAAAGCAGCAAUGCGUCGGAGGAGGAGCCCGC
rnacentral:rRNA from 1 species